rnacentral:rRNA from 1 species
AUUGAACGCUGGCGGCAUGCCUUACACAUGCAAGUCGAACGGUAACGGGUCCUUCGGGAUGCCGACGAGUGGCGAACGGGUGAGUAAUAUAUCGGAACGUGCCCAGUAGUGGGGGAUAACUGCUCGAAAGAGCAGCUAAUACCGCAUACGACCUGAGGGUGAAAGGGGGGAUCGCAAGACCUCUCGCUAUUGGAGCGGCCGAUAUCAGAUUAGCUAGUUGGUGGGGUAAAGGCCUACCAAGGCUACGAUCUGUAGUUGGUCUGAGAGGACGACCAGCCACACUGGGACUGAGACACGGCCCAGACUCCUACGGGAGGCAGCAGUGGGGAAUUUUGGACAAUGGGCGCAAGCCUGAUCCAGCAAUGCCGCGUGCAGGAAGAAGGCC